CGAGAAGAUCACGUGAGGGAAGGAAACCAGGACCGGAAGUGUGAUGGAUGUAGACCGAAAUUGUAUCCCGAAACACUACAAACAUCAGACACAAGCAUACAUUAAAAUGGUUUACAAAUUUACAAAUUUUGUAAACAUAUUUUUUCAUGAUCUUUCAGGUUAAAUAUUUAUAAUUAUCUAUACACAGGUGAGUAUAUUUGCAUACAUGGGAGGGGGUGUCUGAGAAGUAUGAUGCAUUGUAACUUCUCGACAAAGCAGGGUAGAACAAUAAAAAUGGUAACAUGAAAGUUUAUACAUUUAUCUUCACUAGAAGACUAAAGUUUAUUACAGGAUUAACUGUAAUUGACGGGUCUUUUAUUGCAGAGUACAUUUGUCUUGGACAGAUCUACACAUUAUACAGUUAAAUUUGGUGGCUUGUGAAAGUGUCAUUGCCUAACGGUUCCAAGUGAUGUUCUCCUCAGAAAUCAAGAUCUCUUGAAACUGUGUGAACAACGCAGAUAACUUCUGCUACAUUUGUGGUGAGGUUACAUUUGCACCCUAAAAGUGCAGUAUGAUAGUAAAAAAGGCAUAUCACCUAUAGGAGAUAAGGACAGGAGUUGGGACCCUCAUUAUUGUUGCAUUACAUGUGUAACAUAUCUGUGUCUUUGGCUAAUUUCUUACACACGCAUUUAGACUAUUUCCCUUUGAACUAUGGGACAGUGAGUAAUGAACAUGGGAAAAGAUUUCACCAGGAUAUCGCAGGCUUGAAGAAAAGACACCAAGAGAAAUGGAGUCUGUCCAUGCUUGCUGAUCACUGCUGGAAGUAGAUACCGAAUAAAGAUGGAACCUGGUAGUUUUAUAUGAUGUUAAAGCUUAUAUUCUGUAAUUAUCUGGUAUUCACAUUAUAUUUUUGUUAGUUCAAAUGUA